ACUUUUCUCAGAACAAAUAUACGACAUAGAAGAUAAAUGAUUGGAGGUGGAGCUGUUCCAUGGAGAGCAGUGAUGGACACUCAUCAUAUGUCGACCGACUUUUGUUUUGUGUUCAUGUCCAAGACGUGGAGGCCAGCUGGACCACCAAGAUGAAGCCAUACUCUAUAGAAGGUGGAGGUAUGAGCUGGAAGGAGCAGAGCCACAGAGCAGCCUUGAAAUUUCUACCUUAAUGCUUUGACAUGAGUCAUGUCAUGAGUGAGAAGUCAAUCUUUAUCUUGUUCAAGCCACUGUUAUUAUGGGGGCCUUCAAAGACUCACAGCCGGAGCCAAACCUAACUAUUUUGGAGAGAAAAGGCAUUAACACUGACCUGUCAAUGGAUCAAGUCUCUACAAGAUUGAAGAUAAUACUAAAGGCAAGCAGCAAGGAACCAUAAGCUAACGGAUGAGCUGUUACACCUCCUGGAAUUGGUAAGGACAGCGAUCACCUAAUCAACUCUGAUGCUGCGCUGGCUGCCCGUCCAGUUCAGAGUGAUCAAAAAUAUCUAACGGACAAACAUCCAUUACUAUUGAUAAUAAACCUCACCCUAAAUGUAUAUGAUGCUUUGAGAUAUUAACUUAAUGUAGUCAUCAUGGUGAUUUCCGAGACUUAAAGAAAAUCUUUUCCUUGUGGACAUUUUCAAACAUACACAAAAGAGAAAAUAUAAUCAUGAACCUCCACAGCCAAUUGCUCGGCUUCUGCGAUUGUCAGCCUUCUGUGAAGACAAAACUUUUAAAAACUAUUUUUAUCGUGAACUCCCUUUAAAGGAUUUCGAUAUUUGUAUGUUUUGUAAUGUGCAUGAGCUCUGUGGUGUAUAACAAAUAUUCGGUGCAUAAAUUUACAUAAAUCAAAGGCAUAUACUCAAACACUUUUUGCUCAUCAGGAUUUUGUAAUCAAAUGUUUAGAGAAGGCUGCUUCACGAUGCCGUCAGGAUGUGUCAUCCAAUGUUUAGAGAGGGCUGCUUCCCGUUGCAAUCAGGCCUUUUCUAUGUACAAAUCUCAUCGCAUUGCUCUGUGCAGCACACCCCUUAAUGGCUUCCCAUUGCUUUUAAGGAAAGCUCAGCAAAGACCCACUUAAGUCUCUUGCCUCCCUCCCCUGCCCUCCUCCUUUGCUCUCUCCCCUCUGGCGCCAGUGCAGGUCGACAGAGCAGACUUUGCACAGUGCACAUAUUGACCCACGUGUCCUUCUGUUUAAAGGGGGGAGGGGCAGAGGGAGGGAGAGAAUCCUAAGCAGGCCCCAUGCUCAGCGAGGAGCUGACAAGCAGGACUCACUCUCACGACCCUGAGAUCAUGACCUGAGCCAAAAUCAAGAGUCAGAUGCUUAACUGGCUGCGCCACUAAGGCGCCCCUUCUCUGUGUCCUUUUGCCUGAGGGCUUUACACAUUCUUCUUCCUCUGCUUCCCUUUCCAGCUCCAGCUCCACUUUCUUUGGGCAUCCUUUCCUUCCUUCCAGCCCAGGUUGUGUUUCCCAAAUGUGAUGCAUGCUCAUGGAAUUGACUUCUUUUCCUGCACUUGUCUGUGUCUGUAAUA